rnacentral:rRNA from 1 species
AUACAGAGGGUGCGAGCGUUAAUCGGAAUUACUGGGCGUAAAGCGCGCGUAGGCGGUUUGUUAAGUCGGAUGUGAAAUCCCCGGGCUCAACCUGGGACCUGCAUCCGAUACUGGCAGGCUAGAGUCUGGUAGAGGGGGGUAGAAUUCCUGGUGUAGCGGUGAAAUGCGUAGAUAUCAGGAGGAAUACCAGUGGCGAAGGCGGCCCCCUGGACUGAGACUGACGCUGAGGUGCGAAAGCGUGGGGAGCAAACAGGAGUAGAAACCCUAGUAGUCC